UGGGGAAUAUUGCACAAUGGGGGGAAACCCUGAUGCAGCGACGCCGCGUGAAGGAAGAAGUAUCUCGGUAUGUAAACUUCUAUCAGCAGGGAAGAAAGUGACGGUACCUGACUAAGAAGCCCCGGCUAACUACGUGCCAGCAGUCGCGGUAAUCUGUCUGU
rnacentral:rRNA from 1 species